rnacentral:rRNA from 1 species
CGACGUGCCAGCCGCGCGGUAAUACGUAGGUGGCAAGCGUUGUCCGGAUUUAUUGGGCGUAAAGCGAGCGCAGGCGGAAGAAUAAGUCUGAUGUGAAAGCCCCUCGGCUUAACCGAGGAACUGCAUCGGAAACUGUUUUUCUUGAGUGCAGAAGAGGAGAGUGGAACUCCAUGUGUAGCGGUGGAAUGCGUAGAUAUAUGGAAGAUACCAGUGGCGAAGGCGGCUCUCUGGUCUGCAACUGACGCUGAGGCUCGAAAGCAUGGGUAGCGAACAGGAUUAGAUACCCUGGUAGUCCAUGCCGUAAACGAUGAGUGCUAAGUGUUGGGAGGUUUCCCGCCUCUCAGUGCUGCAGCUAACGCAUUAAGCACUCCGCCUGGGGAGUACGACCGCAAGGUUG